CUCACAGCAACCCUGCAUGGAAUUAGAACACAAAGUGAAUUAUUGCCCAGGAUACCAAGGAAGAAUCCAAGACUCAGAAAAGCUGUCAUGGCACUACUAUUACUCUUGGUGCAGAGGCUGGGUGAAAUAUAAACAUGGCUCUUGCCACUCUUAUAACCAAAUCUUAUACUACAGACACACUGCCAUUAAACUGCUGGGAGCACAGCAGGCUUUGCACUUAACCUUUUCAGACUUCAAGAAUCUGCCCCAAUGUCAAAAAGCUUUGCUGGGCAGUACUAAAGAUGAAGCCACAUUGGCUUUCUCUCCAGUUACUGCCAACACACGGCCCAUGAGAAAGUUUCACACAUCCUUGCCUAGACAGACUUUGGAAGUUCACACUGUUCCAUUUGGUGAUUUCUCCUUUGUGCCCUCAUCACAGCAUUCCACCAGUCACUCACCUCCAAGGUCUCUCAGGUAUGAGUCAAAAACUGGUCCAACACAUCAUUCAAACAAAUAGGAGCAUUGCUGAAUUACCUGAAGUGAGACAACUGGGAUCUCUAUCUGAAAGAAGACAGCAGCCCAAAAAAACCCUCAAGAAGCCUUCUUUCCGAGCACUGCUGUGAGGAUUAAUGAAGCAAAGUCCCCUGCUAUGAACUUCAAUUCUAAGCGAUGGCCACAGGAAGGGCUAGAGGAAGCCUACCAGAAGUCAGAAUAAUAAAUUUUCUUUUUAUCUUUCUCA
rnacentral:lncRNA from 1 species